rnacentral:rRNA from 1 species
GGUAUGGUCGGGCAGGCAGCGGGGGUAAGACGAUGGGGGGUAGCGUGGGUCGGGAGGGCUGGGCGUAAAGGGUGGGGAGGCGGUUUGGACAGUCAGGCGUGAAAGUCCCGGGCUUAACCUGGGGGCUGCGCGUGAUACAGCCAGGCUUGAGUGGGGAAGAGGGUCGUGGAAUUCCCAGGGUAGAGGUGAAAUUCGUAGAUAUUGGGAAGAACACCGGUGGCGAAGGCGGCGACCUGGUCCUUUACUGACGCUGAGGCGCGAAAGCGUGGGGAGCAAACAGGAUUAGAUACCCGUGUAGUC